CCUACGGGUGGCAGCAGUAGGGAAUAUUGCGCAAUGGGGGAAACCCUGAAGCAGCAACGCCGCGUGGAGGAUGAAGGUUUUCGGAUUGUAAACUUCUUUUGUUAGAGAAGAGAAUGACGGUAUCUAACGAAUAAGCACCGGCUAACUCCGUGCCAGCAGCCGCGGUAAUACGGAGGGUGCAAGCGUUACUCGGAAUCACUGGGCGUAAAGAGCGCGUAGGCGGGAUAACAAGUCAGAUGUGAAAUCCUAUGGCUUAACCAUAGAACUGCAUUUGAAACUGUUAUUCUUGAGUAUCGGAGAGGUAGGUGGAAUUCUUGGUGUAGGGGUAAAAUGCGUAGAGAUCAAGAGGAAUACUCAUUGCGAAGGCGACCUGCUAGAACAUAACUGACGCUGAUGCGCGAAAGCGUGGGGAGCAAACAGGAUUAGAUACCCCUGUAGUC
rnacentral:rRNA from 1 species